UACGAAGGGGGCUAGCGUUGUUCGGAAUUACUGGGCGUAAAGCGCACGUAGGCGGAUCGAUCAGUCAGGGGUGAAAUCCCAGGGCUCAACCCUGGAACUGCCUUUGAUACUGUCGAUCUGGAGUAUGGAAGAGGUGAGUGGAAUUCCGAGUGUAGAGGUGAAAUUCGUAGAUAUUCGGAGGAACACCAGUGGCGAAGGCGGCUCGCUGGUCCAUUACUGACGCUGAGGUGCGAAAGCGUGGGGAGCAAACAGG
rnacentral:rRNA from 1 species